rnacentral:miRNA from 1 species
GGAUGAGAUUGAGAGAGAGGAUGAGAGGGGAGGAUGGGAGGGAGUAAAAAAAGUGAAAACAAUUUCAAAUAGAUUUCAGUUUUCAGUUUUUGUUUUCACUUUUGUUACUCCUUCCUCCCAUCCUCCCUUCUCAUCUUCCCUCUCAAUCC